rnacentral:lncRNA from 1 species
GGAGAAUCGCUUGAACCCAGGAGGUGGAGGCUGCAGUGAGCCAAGAUCACACCACUGCACUCCAGCCUGGGUGCCAGAGCAAGACCCUGUCUUAAAAAAAAAUUUUUUUUUUGACAUCUACUUUGUGUCCAGCUCCGUGUGGGGCAAUGCUGGGACAGAGAAAUGAGUGACUCCAUUCCAUCUUUUUUUUUUUGAGAUGGAGUUUCGCUCUGUUGCCCAGGAUGGAGUGCAGUGGUAUGAUCUUGGCUCACUGUAGC